rnacentral:tRNA from 1 species
AUACAUUUAGUUUAAUUGAGAAUGGAAGCUUGUCAUGCUUUAGGUAACUCUGUAGUAUAUCCAGUUAGUGUAUG